GGGCUCAUGACCAUCUCUAGGCUUCAGUAGGUCUUAGACUUCAGUAGACCUUGGUCACUUAGAACCUCAUGAUUUUGUCCUUUAAAAGGUGCCUCACAUAGAAGAGAAGAUUUCAAUCCAUAUAAGUCAUACUCCCUCUUGAUUCAUAACCGAUGUAGGACUAAAGAUGUCCUUCCCACUACUAUAAUAUAGCCCCCCAUUCAAGGAGGAGUAUGUGCGUGUG
rnacentral:lncRNA from 1 species